ensembl:snoRNA
AGCCAGUGAUGAAAUUUGAUUCUGCCAGAUGAAUUACUGUGAUAUCACCCAUUUCCGUUCCAUUCUUUCUGAGGUU